rnacentral:rRNA from 1 species
GAUGAACGCUGGCGGCGUGCCUAAUACAUGCAAGUCGAGCGAACAGACGAGGAGCUUGCUCCUCUGACGUUAGCGGCGGACGGGUGAGUAACACGUGGAUAACCUACCUAUAAGACUGGGAUAACUUCGGGAAACCGGAGCUAAUACCGGAUAAUAUAUUGAACCGCAUGGUUCAAUAGUGAAAGACGGUUUUGCUGUCACUUAUAGAUGGAUCCGCGCCGCAUUAGCUAGUUGGUAAGGUAACGGCUUACCAAGGCAACGAUGCGUAGCCGACCUGAGAGGGGAUACGCCCCAACGGGACUGAGAAACCGGCCCGGCUCCCACGGGGAGGAAGAGGUGGGGAAUCUCCCGAAUGGGGGGAAAGCCUGACGGAGCAACGCCGGGGGGGGGACGAAGGUCUCCGGAUCGAAAAACCUUUUUUUUGGGGAAAAAAAAAUGUGUAAGAAACUAUGCCGGUCUUGACGGUACCUAAACAGAAAGCCACGGCUAACUCCGG